rnacentral:misc_RNA from 1 species
GGAAACCUGUUUCUUAAAAAAAAAAAAAAGAAAUCGACCAUGUCGCAAAUAGAGGAGGAGGAGGAAAGAAAGAAGAAGUACCACUACCAAAGGAAGAACAUGAAGAACAACCCACAAGUGUGCAAGAUAGAAUCCUCAAAAAGCAUCAACACCAACAAGCAACAAUCCCCAGACGAAGAAUGGCCAAAACACUAAAAACAGAUGUAGAAAAGAAUUGAAUGGAAAGGGGCAACAGGGACGGGUUGAUAAAAGAAAAAUUGUGAAUAUUUUUAAAUUAAUGAAGAGAGUGGGCUGGGCUUGGCUUUAAACGUGGGUUAGAUCACAG